rnacentral:rRNA from 1 species
CGACGGAACUUGAGAGAGCUUGCUUUUUCAAGUUUAGUGGCGAACGGGUGAGUAACGCGUGAGCAACCUGCCCUGGAGUGGGGGACAACAGUUGGAAACGACUGCUAAUACCGCAUAAGCCCACAGUGCCGCAUGGCACAGCGGGAAAAGGAUUUAUUCGCUUCAGGAUGGACUCGCGUCCAAUUAGCUAGUUGGUGAGGUAACGGCCCACCAAGGCGACGAUUGGUAGCCGGACUGAGAGGUUGAACGGCCACAUUGGGACUGAGACACGGCCCAGACUCCUACGGGAGGCAGCAGUGGGGGAUAUUGCACAAUGGGGGAAACCCUGAUGCAGCGACGCCGCGUGGAGGAAGAAGGUUUUCGGAUUGUAAACUCCUGUCGUAAGGGACGAUAAUGACGGUACCUUACAAGAAAGCCACGGCUAACUACGUGCCAGCAGCCGCGGUAAAACGUAGGUGGCAAGCGUUGUCCGGAAUUACUGGGUGUAAAGGGAGCGCAGGCGGACCGGCAAGUUGGAAGUGAAAUCUAUGGGCUCAACCCAUAAAUUGCUUUCAAAACUGCUGGCCUUGAGUAGUGCAGAGGUAGGCGGAAUUCCCGGUGUAGCGGUGGAAUGCGUAGAUAUCGGGAGGAACACCAGUGGCGAAGGCGGCCUGCUGGGCACCAACUGACGCUGAGGCUCGAAAGCAUGGGUAGCAAACAGGAUUAGAUACCCUGGUAGUCCAUGCCGUAAACGAUG